rnacentral:rRNA from 1 species
UAGUCCACGCCGUAAACGAUGUUCACUCGCUGUUUGCAAUACACAGUAAGCGGCUGAGCGAAAGCAUUAAGUGAACCACCUGGGGAGUACGAUCGCAAGGUUGAAACUCAAAGGAAUUGACGGGGGCCCGCACAAGCGGAGGAACAUGUGGUUUAAUUCGAUGAUACGCGAGGAACCUUACCUGGGCUUAAAUGUAGAUUGCAUAGAUUAGAGAUAGUCUUUUACUUCGGUACUAUCUACAAGGUGCUGCAUGGUUGUCGUCAGCUCGUGCCGUGAGGUGUCGGGUUAAGUCCCAUAACGAGCGCAACCCCUAUCGUUAGUUGCUAGCAGGUAAUGCUGAGGACUCUAGCGAGACUGCCACCGUAAGGUGAGAGGAAGGUGGGGAUGACGUCAAAUCAGCACGGCCCUUAUGUCCAGGGCAACACACGUGCUACAAUGGUGGUGACAGUGGGCAGCGAGACGGCAACGUCGAGCUAAUCUCCAAAAACCAUCUC